GGAAAGAUGAAAAGAACUUUGAAAAGAGAGUUAAAUAGUACGUGAAAUUGUUGAAAGGGAAACGAUUGAAGUCAGUCAUACCAACGGGAAAUCAACCUUUUGAACUUUGUCUCGUGGGUUCGAAGGGUUUAAACGCCUUCGGGUUCGCGAGAUUGGGAUCUUCUGGUGUACUUUCUCGUACGGUUAGUCAACAUCGGUUUUGAAUGUCAUAAAAUGACUGGAGGAAUGUGGCUUCGAUCUCGUAUCGAAGUGUUAUAGCCUUUGGUAGACGUGAUGUUUGAGACCGAGGAUUGCAACGGAUACCCUUUAAGGGCUAUUCGUCUGAUCUCUGAUACGUUGCCUUGACGUUGAAAGCUUGCUUAUGAUGUUAGGGUAUUACGGUCAUAAGGUUAGAACGGAUUAAAUUCGUUAAGGAUGUUGACGUAAUGACUUUAAACGACCCGUCUUGAAACACGGACCA
rnacentral:rRNA from 2 species